rnacentral:rRNA from 1 species
CACGCCGUAAACGAUGAGUGCUAGGUGUCGCGGGCUUUGACCCCUGCGGUGCCGCAGCUAACGCAUUAAGCACUCCGCCUGGGGAGUACGGCCGCAAGGCUAAAACUCAAAGGAAUUGACGGGGGCCCGCACAAGCGGUGGAGCAUGUGGUUCAAUUCGACGCAACGCGCAGAACCUUACCUGGGCUAGAAAAUGCAGGAACCUGGUUGAAAGAUCGGGGUGCUCUUCGGAGAACCUGUAGUUAGGUGC